AAAUUGCAAAAAAGUAAAUCGCCGGCGCAAACUCAAGCAAACGUGAGACUAUGGCUAUUAUGCCAUAAUUGCCGUCGACUGGUCUCCGUCGUGCGUCCCCUACUAUCUAUUCCGGCGGCCACCUCCGAGAAGCAGCUGUUCGAUACCAGUGGCACCUGUCCCUUACUCUCUCUCGCCGCCCGCCUUCGAGCAUGUCGGCAUAAUCGAGCUCGUCGCCGUUGCGACAUCACACGACAAUGCCUCGGUAUUACUGCGACACUACUUGCCUCGCUGAUCACUUUUCGAUGAUUAGUUACUUCUCCUCGAUUUGCCAGCCAUCAGUCAGAAAGCAGCACAUGCAGGAUACAAGCACAAGUAUAUGUGUUCAAUUUACGCGAAUGAUCUGUAGCCAAAUGUGCGUCUUUAUUAUCAACAAUUUGAGGAACUGUGACCCAGAGUUUGAUUGAUCAAAGGAUCAAGAAACAGUUGGGACAAACAGCGGCUUUCCAGCGGGUUGCUGCAACUUAUAAUCAACAUCUUGUGGCUCAGAGGCCUCAGUUACCUAUACUACCGACACCUGUCAUACCUAUGGGAAUGCAAUUUCCAAAUGCACCCUUAAUUCCUGGAAUCAGGCCUCGGUAUUGCCUAGACCACCUUCCGGUGCACCAGUUAACCCAUUUUUUGUGCGAUUUGUAAGUUAGAUAUAUGCCUUGAAGAUGCUGCCCCCCGGUUCUAGUCAUGUUUAUGGCUUCUGAUGCCUUCAUUCUGCUCAUCAUGGUUGCCUAUACUAGUGUCUACUUGAUGUACUCUUCCUAGCUCGGUCAUGUUUUAUCUUUAUUGAUGGUCCAUUGGGAUGGCACUGU